ensembl:snRNA Gm22593 predicted gene, 22593
UUGUUCUCAUUUUGGUAGCAAAUCUACUAAAACUGAAGCAAUACAGAGAAGAUUAACAUGGCCCUUGUUCAAAGAUGACAUGCAAAUUCUGGAAGCACUCAAUAUUUAU